GCAUCACCAAACCACUUGCUCAUCAGAUUGGAGAUCCUCACAUUAAUGAAAACAGCGCCUGACUCUUUUGCAAUAGCUUUGGCAAGCAUAGUCUUACCAGUACCUGGUGAUCCAUAUAACAGGACCCCUUUUUGGGGCCCAAGAAGCUUCCCAUGUGAAAAGAGCUCAGGUCUCCGCAGUGGAAGAAUCACUAGUUCAUACAAAGCUUGCUUGAUAGUUUCCAAUCCUCCAAUUGACUCAAAUUCCACAUCAAUGUGAUCUGGAUUUAUGACAUCACAAGCUAUUACAUCCUCGUAUGGAUUGGUCUGGAUAAGAGGGCGACCCAAUCGCUUGGCGAUUUCCUUCUUCUGUUCAAGGGCCUUCUUCGAGGCCUCCCGGUUAGGAUCAAGUUGUCGUAGCCCCGCAAACAAUACCAGACAACUUAG
rnacentral:misc_RNA from 1 species